rnacentral:rRNA from 1 species
UGAGGAAUUUUCCGCAAUGGGCGAAAGCCUGACGGAGCAAUACCGCGUGAGGGAUGAAGGAUUUUGGUCUGUAAACCUCUUUUCUCAAGAAAGAAGUUCUGACGGUACUUGAGGAAUAAGCAUCGGCUAACUCCGUGCCAGCAGCCGCGGUAAUACGGGGGAUGCAAGCGUUAUCCGGAAUCAUUGGGCGUAAAGCGCCUGUAGGUUGUUUAAUAAGUCUGUUGUUAAAGACUAGGGCUUAACCCUAGAAAAGCAAUGGAAACUACUAGACUAGAGUAUGGCAGGGGUAGAGGGAAUUUCUAGUGUAGCGGUGAAAUGCGUAGAUAUUAGAAAGAACACCGGUGGCGAAAGCGCUCUACUGGACCAUUACUGACACUCAGAGGCGAAAGCUAGGGUAGCAAAAGGG